rnacentral:lncRNA from 1 species
UGUAUGUUUUAUUUAAUAAUUUAGUAUGUUAUUUUAUUGCAAAUAAAAUUUUAUGAACUUUUCUUAAAAACUUUAAUGGAACGCCUGAAACAAACUCCUCUUACAGAGAGUACACUCAUUUCAUAUCAUUCAAUAGGCUGAUGAGAUCACCAGGAUAAGAAUCUUCUACUUUUCUUUUUUUUGGUGCCGUAUAUGGAGGUAGGGGAGGCAUUUCUGCU